UGGGGAAUUUUGCACAAUGGGGGAAACCCUGAUGCAGCGGCGCCGCGUGAUUUAGAAGGCCUUCGGGUUGUAAAAAUCUUUUCUAUGGGAAGAAAAUGACAGUACCAUAGGAAUAAGGACCGGCUAAUUACGUGCCAGCAGCCGCGGUAAUACGUAAGGUCCGAGCGUUGUCCGGAAUCAUUGGGCGUAAAGGGUACGUAGGCGGGUAAGCAAGUUAGAAGUGAAAUCCUAUAGCUCAACUAUAGUAAGCUUUUAAAACUGCUCAUCUUGAGGUAUGGAAGGGAAAGUGGAAUUCCUAGUGUAGCGGUGAAAUGCGCAGAUAUUAGGAGGAAUACCGGUGGCGAAGGCGACUUUCUGGCCAUAACCUGACGCUGAGGUACGAAAGCGUGGGUAGCAAACAGG
rnacentral:rRNA from 1 species